ensembl:lncRNA
AAUGUGGUUAAGGUUAAGGUUGAAAUCAAAUUUAAGAAGAUAAAUGUAGAAAUGGGUGUUUUUGUUGUGUGGUGUGUGUGUGUGUGUGUGUGUGGUGUUGUGGUGUGUGUGUGUGUGUGUGUGUGUGUGUGUGUGUGUGUGUGUGUGUGUGUGUACUUUGUGGCUGUGGUAACUGUGAGCCCGCCCCGCUGUGGACGCUUCUGGAACCGACCACGGUUCAACCGCCUCUGUAGCCUGUUAGCCGACAACAACUACAAACAUUGAAGCUCUGUCGAUCAUAUUUGUGUAGCUACACAAAUAAGAACCCCAGUGAUUUACACACAGUUCUGUUAACGUAUCUACUAUCUCAUUUAAAUGUAAUUGGCUUUUUAUUACAUUUGCAAAUGUGUUACCGAGCCCAGAACUAGGCRAGUCGCUAAUGCUAAGUAGCUAGCUAGCUAACAUCCCUGACAAUGAGCUCACUAAGAUACUCUCCUCCUGCUAAUGAAGAGGAGAUCUGCUGGACGGAGAAAGCAGCUCUGGGGAUGAACAUUGUCAUUAAAGAAGAAGAAGAGGAGGAUAUUACAGUGAUAGGAACGGAAGAAGCUUGUCGAAUUAAAACYGAGGAAGAGGAGGAAGGGAUAGAGGCAGUCACAGUGAAAGAGGAAGAGGGGAUGGAGGUUGUCAUAGUGGAAGAAGAGGUAGAAGCUUUCAGAAUGAAAGAUGAGAUAGAGGAGGAUAUCACAUUGAAAGAAGAAGAACCUUUUGUGGUGAAAGAGGAGGAGACUGAAGAUCCGAUUAACACCAAUCCAAAAACGAGGCCAUAUGCAGUUUCCUGGCCCUCCCAGGGCUCUACAGUGAAGGAGGACAUCAGAAAGAUGCAGGAAGAAUCUAAUGUGACACCCGUGAGUCCCAGACAGUUUGGUGGUGGUGAUGACGAUUCUAUUCACUGCGACAAAGAAUGCGACGUGAAAGACAAGGAUUGGUUUCCUAGCAACAGGCUGAAGGCGGAGUCGGCUCCAGAGAGCCACACCCCAGAGCAGAGGAGGGGACGUCGGAUUUUUGUUUUUGUUCUUUUUUUUAAUAUUUGUAUUUUGUAAGUCGAGUGCCCAGUCACAAAGUGAUUCUGUUCUCAACAUUCCUUCCUUAAUUCCUGGACCUCCUCCUAUAAAUCCAUUGGAGGAGAACAUUUGAGGUUCAUCCAAAUACUGAUAUGUGUGAAUGUUUUUAGGCAUACAGAUGAUUCUGAUUGGACUUUCUCCUCCACAACAUUUAUAGCAGGAGGUCCAGAGAAUAGAGAGGAAUCAGAGGUAGGAGUGUUUCCCACCCUAAAUUGAUUGUUUAUUUUUGUGGUUUCCAGGACAUGUUUUUCCGUCUCCCAGAGUCCCCAGGUCGUGCCUCUCCCAAUGUUGCCUUACUGUGGGUCUGAGAGGUGUCUGUGCGCUUGUCGACUGCAGGAAAACACCGGGUCUGCGUGGAACUGUGAGAGGAGAAGAAGAGGGAGAUUCAGAUCAAGUAAGAACAGUGGUGUGUGGAUGAGCUACAAUCUGCUUCUGUUACAGUUCUGGGUCCGUGUAUUCUACUGUUGUAGAGCAGCUCAUUUCUUUGUGUCAGUGUAUUACUGUUGUAGCAGCUCAUUAGUUCUGUG